rnacentral:rRNA from 1 species
GUGCCUNGCACNUCGAAUUNUAGUCUGGAGAANGUCCNNNNGCGACGCGCCGGACCCAAGUUCCCUGGAAAGGGACGUCAUCGAGGGUGACAACCCCGUCCGCGCCCGGAACGCGUCGCUCCACGAGGACCUGUCUGCGAGUCGGGCUGUUUGGGAAUGCAGCCCUAAUCGGGAGGUAAAUUCCUUCCAAGGCUAAAUAUGGGCAAGAGACCGAUAGCGAACAAGUACCGCGAGGGAAAGAUGAAAAGGACUUUGAAAAGAGAGUUAAAAAGUGCUUGAAAUUGCUGGGAGGGAAGCGAAUGGAAGCUGCGGGUGCGGCCCGGUUGGAUGUGGAACGGCUUCGGCUGGUCCGCCGCUCAACGCGGGGCGCUGGUCAGCGUGGGCCAUGGCGCCGGGACAAGAGCAGGGAUUCGCUUCCUGCCUAUGCCGGUGCGGUGGCCGAGGAACGAAGCGCGCGCCUUCUGGCGUGGGUUCGCCCAACUGCGCGCUCGGGACGCUGGCGUAUUGAGCUCUUCAUCCGACCCGUCUUGAAACACGGACCAAGGAGUCUAACAUGUAUGCGAGCCGGUGGGCGGCAAACCCAUUGAGGCGCAAGUAAACUGACAGGUGGGACCCCGACCGUGAGGGAGGGAGCACCAUCGACCGACCGUGAUCUUCUGUGAAAGGUUUGAGUGUGAGCAUACCUGUUGGGACCCGAAAGAUGGUGAACUAUGCCUGAGCAGGGCGAAGCCAGAGGAAACUCUGGUGGAGGCUCGUAGCGAUACUGACGUGCAAAUCGUUCGUCAGACUUGGGUAUAGGGGCGAAAGACUAAUCGAACCAUCUAGUAGCUGGUUCCCUCCGAAGUUUCCCUCAGGA